UACGAAGGGGGCUAGCGUUGUUCGGAAUUACUGGGCGUAAAGGGCGCGUAGGCGGCCCGUCAAGUCCCGUGUGAAAGCCCCCGGCUCAACCGGGGAACGGCGCGGGAAACUAGCAGGCUUGAGUUCGGGAGAGGGAAGCGGAAUUCCGGGUGUAGCGGUGAAAUGCGCAGAUAUCCGGAGGAACACCGGUGGCGAAGGCGCACAUCUGGCCCGAUACUGACGCUGAGGCGCGAAAGCUAGGGGAGCAAACGGG
rnacentral:rRNA from 1 species